CUCGCCCGUUCUCUUGGGGGCCCCUGCGGAGCCCGGGGCCUGGGGCAAAUUGCCCCACUUGCCCCUCCCGGGCGGCCCUGCCAACACGUCGCUCAGCCCGCACCACUUCCUGUAGCCCCCAUUGACCUGGAAGUCCUUAACAUUAAUCGCAGGAGGGAAGUUACGGACGUGUAACACUAUUAUGCAACGUACAAAGUGUGGGGUUUCUCCAGGUGCCUUCAAUUUGAUUGGAUUAUGACAUGAGACCUAUACAUAGAUUCUGGGGCAAAUCAUUGCAAUUCAAAAGUGGUCCGAUUCUGCUGCCAUUGAAAAUAAUGGAAGAAUUCCCAUUCACAGGAGCCAAACUGGAUCCAAAGGUUGCCAUUUCCUCUUUGCACAUCAUCUCCCAUGUUCAGUUGGGUGUGUAUCAGCAGUACUGGCAUUCAUGCAAGGAGUGGUACUGAUCUCCUGCCAAACUCCAGCUUAUCUUUCUGCUACUGAUGCUUAAGUGUUGCUGAUGGGUGACACCGAGCCAGCUCUGCUCCUUGCUGGUGUUCAUUUCCAAAGCACGCUUAGAUCCUGGCAGCUCAAGAAGCUAGAGACUGUGCCCAGGAUUGAGUCUCUUGUCAUAGCACACCGUGCCAACCCUAAGUGACUGAGCUGGUCCCAAAUGCAAGAUUUAUUGCAAUAUUAACAAAUGAGGUUAGGCUAUAGAAGAUUCUUCUCAAAUUAAUUUCAUUUAAUGUAACUUAAUGUAAGGAUAUUAAAGAUUUUUUAUUGCUGUGUCUUCAUAAAAUAUAAAUAUACACUUAUGUGAACAAAAUUAAAAAUGAGAGGUCAACUCUUAACCUGCCUGUUGAUGACACAAUACAAUUAGCCAUUUUCAAUACUGUAUUCUUCCUUAGCACAGAAACAAAUUGCCUUAUAAAGGGCCACAUUCUUACCCUAUUCAGCCAUAUAGUCCUACUGGAAAGAUUAAGAAGCUGAUUCCCCACUGCCUAAUCCCUUGUGUAAUUUUUUACAACUGUGAGACAUGAGUUCAACAUGGGUGUAAAAGCUAUCAAACAGAAUUCUGCACUCACACUGUUGGUAGCAUUUUGCACUGGCAUUGUACAGGUGAAAGUUACUAUUCAAAGGGUAAACCAGCUGAGAAUCAGGGCAUUGCCUGAUAUAGAUACACCCCUUUUGCCUUUAUACAUGCAAGACCAAAGUUGUCAAUACUACUAUUCACAUAUGGGCUAUAUGGUCAAGUUCUUCAUCUGUUUGUGGAUUGUAAUAAUUACAAAGAAUGAUUUCUUUCAGCUAUGAAAUAAGAAAAAUAUAUUAACUUUGUAAAAACUUUGUAUUAAAUUGCUUUUAUAUGGCUA